ACAGGUGUGUCCCCGGGCAGGUGUAUCCCGGACAGGUGUAUCCCCGGGCAGAUGUAUCCCCGGGCAGGUGUGUCCCGGGCAGGUGUGUCCCCGGACAGGUGUAUCCCCGGGUAGGUGUGUCCCCGGGCAGGUGUAUCCCCGGACAGGUGUGUCCCCGGGCAGGUGUAUCCCGGACAGGUGUGUCCCCGGGCAGGUGUAUCCCGGACAGGUGUGUCCCCGGACAGGUGUGUCCCCGGGCAGGUGUAUCCAAGCAGGUGUAUCCCGGGCAGGUGUAUCCUGAAGGCAGGUAUAUCCCCGAACAGGUGUAUUCUGGGAAGGUGUAUCCCGGGCAGGCGUAUCCUGAAGACAGGCGUAUCCCCAGACAAGUGUAACCCGCCAGGUGUAUUCCGGGCUGGUGUACCCUGAGGGCAGGUGUAUCCCUGUGCAGGUAUAUUCCUGAGGGCUGGAGCACCCCAGGGGCAGGUGUAUCCCUCAUGGGUAGUUGCACCACAAGUGCAGGUGUACCCUGAGGGCAGGUGUACCCUGAGGACAGGUGUACCCCGAGGACAGGUGCACCCCGAGGGCAGGUGUAUUCUAAGGACAGGA